rnacentral:rRNA from 1 species
GAUGAACGCUGGCGGCGUGCCUAAUACAUGCAAGUCGAACGCAUAGCGAAAGGUGCUUGCACCUUUCAAGUGAGUGGCGAACGGGUGAGUAACACGUGGACAACCUGCCUCAAGGCUGGGGAUAACAUUUGGAAACAGAUGCUAAUACCGAGUAAAACUUAGUGUCGCAUGACACAAAGUUAAAAGGCGCUUCGGCGUCACCUAGAGAUGGAUCCGCGGUGCAUUAGUUAGUUGGUGGGGUAAAGGCCUACCAAGACAAUGAUGCAUAGCCGAGUUGAGAGACUGAUCGGCCACAUUGGGACUGAGACACGGCCCAAACUCCUACGGGAGGCUGCAGUAGGGAAUCUUCCACAAUGGGCGAAAGCCUGAUGGAGCAACGCCGCGUGUGUGAUGAAGGCUUUCGGGUCGUAAAGCACUGUUGUAUGGGAAGAACAGCUAGAAUAGGAAAUGAUUUUAGUUUGACGGUACCAUACCAGAAAGGGACGGCUAAAUACGUG